GACAGAGGAUGCAAGCGUUAUCCGGAAUGAUUGGGCGUAAAGCGCACGUAGGCGGCUAUUCAAGUCGGGGGUGAAAGCCCGGGGCUCAACCCCGGAACUGCCCUCGAAACUAGAUAGCUAGAAUCUUGGAGAGGCGAGUGGAAUUCCGAGUGUAGAGGUGAAAUUCGUAGAUAUUCGGAAGAACACCAGUGGCGAAGGCGACUCGCUGGACAAGUAUUGACGCUGAGGUGCGAAAGCGUGGGGAGCAACAGG
rnacentral:rRNA from 1 species